GACGAACGCUGGCGGCGUGCUUAACACAUGCAAGUCGAACGGAAAGGCCCUGCUUGCAGGGUACUCGAGUGGCGAACGGGUGAGUAACGCGUGGGUGAUCUGCCCUGCACUUCGGGAUAAGCCUGGGAAACUGGGUCUAAUACCGGAUAGGAGCCAUUUUUAGUGUGAUGGUUGGAAAGUUUUUUCGGUGUAGGAUGAGCUCGCGGCCUAUCAGCUUGUUGGUGGGGUAAUGGCCUACCAAGGCGGCGACGGGUAGCCGGCCUGAGAGGGUGGACGGCCACAUUGGGACUGAGAUACGGCCCAGACUCCUACGGGAGGCAGCAGUGGGGAAUAUUGCACAAUGGGCGCAAGCCUGAUGCAGCGACGCCGCGGGGGGGAUGACGGCCUUCGGGUUGGAAACUCCUUUCGCUAGGGACGAAGCUUUUUGUGACGGUACCUAGAUAAGAAGCACCGGCUAACUACGUG
rnacentral:rRNA from 1 species